UAGGGAAUAUUGGACAAUGGGGGCAACCCUGAUCCAGCCAUGCCGCGUGAGUGAAGAAGGCCCUCGGGUUGUAAAGCUCUUUUGUCCGGAAAGAAAAGCAUUCGGUGAAUACCCGGAUGUUCUGACGGUACCGGAAGAAUAAGCACCGGCUAACUUCGUGCCAGCAGCCGCGGUAAUACGAAGGGUGCAAGCGUUACUCGGAAUUACUGGGCGUAAAGCGUGCGCAGGCGGUUUUGUAAGACAGAUGUGAAAUCCCCGGGCUUAACCUGGGCACUGCGUUUGUGACUGCAAGGCUGGAGUACGGCAGAGGGGGGUGGAAUUCCACGUGUAGCAGUGAAAUGCGUAGAGAUGUGGAGGAACACCGAUGGCGAAGGCAGCCCCCUGGGCCUGUACUGACGCUCAUGCACGAAAGCGUGGGGAGCAAACA
rnacentral:rRNA from 1 species